rnacentral:rRNA from 1 species
GAUGAACGCUGGCGGCGUGCCUAAUACAUGCAAGUCGAGCGAACAGAUAAGGAGCUUGCUCCUUUGACGUUAGCGGCGGACGGGUGAGUAACACGUGGAUAACCUACCUAUAAGACUGGGAUAACUUCGGGAAACCGGAGCUAAUACCGGAUAACAUAUUGAACCGCAUGGUUCAAUAGUGAAAGGCGGCUUUGCUGUCACUUAUAGAUGGAUCCGCGCCGUAUUAGCUAGUUGGUAAGGUAACGGCUUACCAAGGCAACGAUACGUAGCCGACCUGAGAGGGUGAUCGGCCCAACUGGAACUGAGACACGGUCCAGACUCCUACGGGAGGCAGCAGUAGGGAAUCUUCCGCAAUGGGCGAAAGCCUGACGGAGCAACGCCGCGUGAGUGAUGAAGGUCUUCGGAUCGUAAAACUCUGUUAUCAGGGAAGAACAAAUGUGUAAGUAACUGUGCACAUCUUGACGGUACCUGAUCAGAAAGCCACGGCUAACUACGUG